CACGUAGGGGGCAAGCGUUGUCCGGAGUUACUGGGCGUAAAGGGUGCGUAGGUGGCUCUAUAAGUAUGGUGUGAAAUCUCCCGGCUUAACUGGGAGGGUGCGCCGUAGACUGUGGGGCUAGAGUGUGGGAGAGGAAAGUGGAAUUCCUGGUGUAGCGGUGAAAUGCGUAGAUAUCAGGAGGAACACCGGUGGUGUAAACGGCUUUCUGGACCAUAACUGACACUGAGGCACGAAAGCGUGGGUAGCAAACAGG
rnacentral:rRNA from 1 species